rnacentral:rRNA from 1 species
UGCAAGUCGAACGGCAGCGCGGGGCAACCUGGCGGCGAGUGGCGAACGGGUGAGUAAUAUAUCGGAACGUACCCAAGAGUGGGGGAUAACGUAGCGAAAGUUACGCUAAUACCGCAUACGAUCUAAGGAUGAAAGCAGGGGACCGCAAGGCCUUGUGCUCCUGGAGCGGCCGAUAUCUGAUUAGCUAGUUGGUAGGGUAAAGGCCUACCAAGGCUACGAUCAGUAGCUGGUCUGAGAGGACGACCAGCCACACUGGAACUGAGACACGGUCCAGACUCCUACGGGAGGCAGCAGUGGGGAAUUUUGGACAAUGGGCGCAAGCCUGAUCCAGCAAUGCCGCGUGAGUGAAGAAGGCCUUCGGGUUGUAAAGCUCUUUUGUCAGGGAAGAAACGGUGGGAGCUAAUAUCUCUCACUAAUGACGGUACCUGAAGAAUAAGCACCGGCUAACUACGUGCCAGCAGCCGCGGUAAUACGUAGGGUGCAAGCGUUAAUCGGAAUUACUGGGCGUAAAGCGUGCGCAGGCGGUUUUGUAAGUCUGAUGUGAAAUCCCCGGGCUCAACCUGGGAAUUGCAUUGGAGACUGCAAGGCUAGAAUCUGGCAGAGGGGGGUAGAAUUCCACGUGUAGCAGUGAAAUGCGUAGAGAUGUGGAGGAACACCGAUGGCGAAGGCAGCCCCCUGGGUCAAGAUUGACGCUCAUGCACGAAAGCGUGGGGAGCAAACAGGAUUAGAUACCCUGGUAGUCCACGCCCUAAACGAUGUCUACUAGUUGUCGGGUUUUAAUUAACUUGGUAACGCAGCUAACGCGUGAAGUAGACCGCCUGGGGAGUACGGUCGCAAGAUUAAAACUCAAAGGAAUUGACGGGGACCCGCACAAGCGGUGGAUGAUGUGGAUUAAUUCGAUGCAACGCGAAAAACCUUACCUACCCUUGACAUGUACGGAAGCCACGAGAGAUCGAGGUGUGCUCGAAAGAGA